AAAGAUUGAAUAUGUACUGUGUAGACUCUGAACCUACCUUUGAGGCUCCCACUCCUCUAAGAGGACUCCUAUGAGUCCUUCAGUAACUUAUGUUGACUUUUUGUCACUAACAAAUACUUAAAAGGAACAACUACAAGAGAAAAGAUAUCUUUUAGUGUCUCAGAGGUUUCUGUCCAAGUCCAGCUGUAUCAAUUGCUUUGGGUCAGGGUAGGGCAGGCUAACAGGGUUCUAACAAAAAGCCCUGUGAGGGCCCAGGCAGCCCACAAUGACAGCUGUGUGGGUAAUUGUCCUUUUCUUAUCUAAUCUUUUGGAUGGGAGUGAGGGCAGAUCUUCCCUUGCAGGCAUGCCCAGGGCUGUGUUUUGCCAGUCUCCCAGGUGUUGCUCAAAUCAAUGGAGCAUAACAGAAGCUGCCCUUCAACCUUUAGAUUCAGAACUAGAGUGCACUGAAGACCAACCCCUCCAGGGAGUUUUCCGACUUAUACUAUGAUCCAGUCUUGUCUGCCAAGAGGCACACUAGUUUCUAGUAUUGUAACCUUUGGCAGAAUAGCACGUUUGUGUGCGUUUGAGACCACAGGCAGCAGGAUCCCUUGAGAAGACCCACGCUGAGGUCCGGGUCCUGAAAUGGUCUGGUUCCUUGCUACCUUCCUGAUUUUGUCCUUGAUUAUUUCUUCCCUGUUCUUUCCUGUGAUGGCUUCUUCAGUUUAUAAAAGAUGUCAAACACAGUUUCCUCUCUGGGGCCCGGCUGCUGCCAAUGCCUUUGGGGCUCUCACUUACCCAGUUUAUUUAAGUCUUAGCUUAAAUGCCACUUUAUUAAGGAUGCUUCCAUUUCCCUGCCACCUGAACCAGCUUUCUAUAUUCUUGUUGCUAUUGUCCCUCAGUUGUGCUUUAUUUUCUUCCCAGACUUCUGUUUAUCUUGAUGUCUUUUCAAAGUUCAGUUCCAUCUAUAUGUUUAUUUGCUUUUAUGUGUGGUUUUGUCCCCUAGCAGAUGUAGGCCCUCCACAAAUAUUGGUUGUUAACAUUUAAUUCAAAAUGCCUACUAAUACAAUUGUAAACAUUAAGUUGUCUAAAAUGUAUAUAAAUAGCCUCACACUCAUGGGUCAAAUGGGGCAGAGCAUAGGUUAUCAAGCAAGACUCUAAUGACAGCUUCAGAAAUGGGCAUUGGAGCAUUGGCUGCCCUGGGAGCAGCCCUGUCUUUACCACCUGGGCUGUGUGUUCACUACUACAAGGCACUGACACCACAGAGGAAAACCACAUGCAGUGAGGAUCUUCACCACUUCAACUUGACAGCUGGAUGUUCAUGAAGACCGGCAGUUCCCGUCUCUGCAUUUGCACAGGUGGGUAAACGGUCUGCCCCAUGGCUGGACCUUCAAGUGUAUCUGCUGAAUUCACAGCCAACAGGCAUCUUUAUUGAGAGCUGGGUUCCUGACCAUUGGGAAAAGACAGUUUCUCUUAAUUGCCUUCUGUCACUAUAGGAAGAAGAGAAGUGACCGCAACAGAGAGCUCCACAUGUAAGUGACAGGAAACAGGGAUUUUUGUCACCACUUUGGAGCGUGGGAUGGGCAUGCACACCCAGUCCUCAGCUGACCAUUGAACGGAAGUGGAAAGGGCACAGAUCUGGGUAUCACAUCUUGGGGCAGGAUUUGAAUUAAUCUGCUAUUCUCAUUGGACCAGUUACUGCCAAUGUCUAUCCUUCUAUGGGCAUAACUGAGAAUUUUCAUUUGAAGACUCUGUGGAAACAUUUAGUAGAUGUUAAAUAGAUAAACACUCUUUAGCGGUCAAGCAGAGUGGGCCGAGCGUAAGCCCCUCUGUGAGCCCCCAUUAGCUUGGUUUAUGAAGUGGGAAAGCAAUGCAAUGUUCUAGCUCUGUUAGGCUCAGUGGUAACAUACCACUAGGCUGCUUCUGCUGGAUGCUCCCAAAUGCAGCGUUAUUACUGUUGCUAGGUUCUAAAGAUGCAACCGAGGGGUGUCACAAGUGUGUUUGUAAAGCAGAACUCAGAUAUUUAGUAUAUUGCCAUAAAGAAAAGGAAAAAUAAUUUUAAAAGCACAAAAAUCCAAUUUAGUAUACGAGGUAAUAAAAUGUUGAGUUACAUUGUUGAAUAGAAUAUUGUCUAAUAUAUGUAAAAACUAAGUAGAUAGAAAUACUUUGCACUUUGCUUUUAAUUCGUAUACUUUCUUAUGUUUUAUGAAUUUCAGUGCUCCCUAAAAGCAAGAGAAAUGCAGGCUUGCUUCUUUUCCACGGAGUCACAAUUCUGACAUUUGAGGGUAAAAAUUAUUAAACCUGGAUGUCCUCAGACCUCUUGGUAAGCACCUUUACUGGCUGAGUCCUCAGAUGACCCUCAGAGAAUUUAGCAGUUUUAUCCAAGGUAAUGUGUUCUUGAUAAUGUAAAUAACUCUCUAAAACUGUAUUUCAUUUUUGACAUGUAUAUCCAGGUGACCAAGAUAUAGACCCUGUUAUUGUCCUCUUGAAUUCUUGGACGGAACCUGGUUUUCUUUGUUACAUUUUGCGAUUAGCCAGGUCACUCUUCUGAUGCCAAAUGCAUGAGUCAAACUUCUUGUGGCUAUGUCUAGAAGAACCACAAACACAGAGAAGGCAGACUGAAGACUCACUGUGCUGCCUGUGCUGUCUUUCAUCUCUACCUGGCUCAUUUAAGUAGGAAAUGCUGCACUAAUGUAAUGGUGUCCCUAGAGGGCGCUCUGCAUCUAGUUCACUAAAAAAAGUAUUGACUUUGAUUCCUUGAGGUUUGCACCUUGAAUUUUAACUUCAGAGAUUGAGAUGCUGAAGGAUGAAGGGAGGAUAGAUGGAACGGCAGUAUGGAUGGGUUACCUGUGAAUAAAAAUUACAGUCCAUUCCUUUUGUUUAAUAUAUUUUGUUAAAAAUUUAAUAACUUUUUUUGGUUUAAAAUAUAGAAUACAUCUUGAACUAGCAUUUCUUCUUUGCGCAGAAACCACGUGAAUCUUUCAAUUACCACAAUUUAAGAAGCUGGACAAUAAAAGUAAACACCCCUACUUCUUUUUUAAAAUUAACUGUCUUUGUAGUUGUGAUCCUUGUUGGAUAUUCUGGGCAGCAGAGCUACAGAACGGCUGUCUUCCUACUUGCACAGCUUGUGAUAAUGUAUAGAAUUACUCACAUAUAAUAAUAGCUUUCGAUGAUUUGACUGAACAUGUUCUGUAACUUUUUCUACCUCUGACACAGUGCCUUAGUAGCUUGAUGAAAGGAUAGGGGACAUAUUAUCUGAGGUUAAAGGACUGUCACCCCUGUGUACAUGCGGUGUAAUCAUUCUUCUUGUUGUCAUGUUCCUAUGGAUACGAAAUUUAUGAAGUUAGGAUUUCUUUUUGUUCCAAAAAACAGUGAAUCCUUCUUUGAGAACUGAUUACAUAUUUUCAACAUCAACAUAAGCAUAAAUAAAACUACAGUUUAUGGCUUAAGAAUUAGCUCAGUGCCUGCUUAUCAUGUGUACAAUGACAGGGUUUCAUCCACAGCAUAAGCAAAAAGCAUGCAAUCAGCAAGUAAACUAUUAAUCUCUACGUUAAUAACAACUUUGAAUGAAGAAUGGGAUGUUUAUAUAAUUUCAUUAUAUCAUGAUCAAAACUUGGUAUUAAAAGAACAUGGCAUGGAGGGAGGAUAGAAGGAGGAGCAGAAUGUGGAGGUUACUUGUGAAUGAAAGUACAGGCCAUUUGUUUUGUUUAACAUAAUUUAUUAAAAGUUUAAAUAAAAUAUUUUUUGGUUUAAAAUAUAGAAUUCUGUCAAAAAUAGUGUAGAAAGAAUCUACAUAAGACAUCAUACACACAUACAUGUGCACACUCACAUUGGUAUAUUCACAUAUGCUUACAUACACACAUGGAUGCAUAUUCACAUAUCCAUGCUCAGGCAUACAUCUAUAUGCACACAUGCCAAGCCAUGAACACACGACCCUACAAAUGAAAAUCUUGGUAGAUGGCUGAAGCUCAUAUAAAUGAUGCUCAGAAUCAUCAGAAAAAAAUACAAAUUGUAAUCAGAUCAUAGAACACAUUUAAAUGGCUUUAUAUUUGUAGUAUUUCUGAUGAUAAUUUAAAAGCAGAAUUCUCUUACAGGAAAAUGUAAGGGCAGAGAAGCUGUGGUGUUUUGAAUAGGUAUGGUCCCUAUAGACUCAUGUGUGUGAAUGCUUAGCCCAUUGGGAAUGCCACUGUUAGGAGGUGUGGCCUUGUUGGAGGAAAUGUAUCACUAUGGAGGCAGGCUCUGAGGUCUUAGACACUCUCAAGUUAUGCUCAGUGUGGUACACAGUCCAUGGCUGGCAGCCAUCUUUCUAAGUUUAAAAGGAGGUAGAACAUGUUGACUUCUCUGCUUAUCACUGUAUCUCCUUUUUUUGUUUGUUUGAGUAAAGAAGAAACAGCAGGCCUCCAAAAAAAAAAAUGCCCCAUGCCCUACCUACUUCCAGAACCUGACCUAAGCUGCAAACACUGCCUUGCCAAAGUAGACCAGUUCCCCCAAGCUCUUCAACAAGAAAAUCUCUUAGGUCUGCUGGGUCUUGUGAUGGAAGGUCUAAUGAUGCCCUGUGGCAGGCAGACUACCUGUAACCCCAUCAAAGCCUUCAAUGGUAACGUGGAGGAGUCCAGGCUGCCUGUCCAUGUAAAAAGUAAGUCUCCGUCAUUCUUAAUUGGUUCAGAGGCUGUUUGCUCUUUACUUCCUGCUCAAAUAUAUCCUUCUCAGAUCUCUGGGAUGGCAUUAGUGGAGGGCCCAAGCUUUAUUAGACAGCAAUCAGCAGCAAGCUGACCUCAGCCAGCCCCUCCUGCUAAGCGGCAGCUGCUAGGGCGGUCCAUUCAUAGCUAGAAAGUCCGCUUUCAUCUAAUCCAUUUUAGCUUCCCAAUAGCUUUGGUUACUAGAGAUGGACAUGUUACCUGCUGAUGAUACACUUAAAAACCCCUUUUGAAAAAGUUUAAAUUACCUGCAAAUUACUGGAGUCUCUUAAAUAAAAAGGCUUCGAGGCUGAGGAACAAUUAAUGACCUGCCAGCCUGAAUUCAUUUUAUCUGUAAAACGCUUUUGCUUUUCCUAAAGCUAGUAGGUCUCCCACUGAGAAAGACAAACUCCCAGACAAGUUUACCUUGCUGACAGGCUUCAUGUUGAGAAAGACAAACUCAUGGAUUUAGAUGUAAAAGCUACCACGAUGUCAUUAUUGACUUAGAAUGUACCUAUUACUAUUCUUCUUUUAAAAACUCUCUUUUCAAUGAGGGCUUUCAGUAACAGAAGACUUGUGUCUCAAGAUAAGUGAUUAAAUGUUUUAAAAAAUGUUUAAAUUAUGAGAGUUACUAAGAUCUGAGGAAGUGACUUAAGAGGUGUGAGUGUACACUGUGAAGGUCUGAGGAAGUAAUUUAAGGUAUGAAAAAGUAGACUUAAAGAUGAUAUAUAUGAUGUUAAGACUUCGAAGUUUAAAGUUAAUCCACAGAGUUCAGAUAGUUCAUUAAUCUAAUCUUGGUAGUAUUUCCAUUAUCAUGGUCACAGACUCAAAAUUGGUUGUUUUCUUUUCUAGCCUUAACAUGUUUCCUAUGGUACUAAGAGUAUCUCUGCUCAGUGUAAUACAUCCAGCUCUCUGGACAGAGGAGUGUUCGCUUUAUUUCAGACCAUCUUUUGCAUCCUCAAGCUCUUUGUUUCUGUAAUGAGACAGAAAUUGCUGUAUUAUGACAAAUGAAAGCUUAUGCUUCCACCAUGUUGAUAACUGUGGUGGUUUGAAUCAGAAUGGUCCCUACAUGCUUAUAAAUUGAAAGACUGAAGGAGUAGCCCUAGUUGAAGGGAUCAGGAAGUAUGGCCUUGUUGGAGGAAGUGUGUCACUGGGGAUGGACUUGGGGGUUUCAAGAGCAGAAGCCAAGCCCAGUGUUCCCUUCCUGCUUCUAUGGAUCCAGAUGGACAACUCCAAACUUCUGCUCUAGCGCCAUGUCUGCCUGCACCCCACCAUGUUUCCUACAGGGAGAACAGUGAGUGAAACCUCUGAAAGUGUAACCCAGCCCCAUUGAAAUGCUUUGCAUUGUACCAGUUGCCAUUGUCAUGGUGUCUCUUCACAGCAACAGGACACCAAUAAGACAAUAACUUUCCAAGUUUUACCUUGUUAUGGUGCAAAUAUACAAAUCUGCUUGAGCAGUUUACAGACACUUAUUUCCUCCUGUUCCUUUAGCAGGACUUCAGUGCAUAUUACAUACUAAUAUUUCUAAAACUUACCUUUUUUUUAAAAUCAACUUUAAAGGAUCCAGGCAAGCUUUUAGGGAGUUGUGACUUGGAGCCAUCUGCCACAGGUCAAAUGAACCCCUUCUUCCCCCUCCUGUUUGGUGUAUGUUCCGUUUGUCCUCCAGACCUUCUAGGCUAAGGGACAGACCUGGAAGUAGUAAGUGAAGAGCCCCCUAAGCUCAUUAGCUUUACCUUCUGUCCCCAGUCCUUAUCUGUCCCAGCAGAUUUCCACUCAGGUGGUAGACACCAUCUAGGAAUCAGAUGUGGUCUAGAAUCGGCUUCAAAACAGACCCAUCUUCAUAGCUCCAGAUCAUUCUGAAGACCUGGCUAUCUCUGGGCUUACUGAAAGCCAGUGUAAAAUAGUCUGACCAAAGGGAAAAACUGGCUUGUGAACUAUGGCUUCCAGAGACUAUGUCUAAGUUGGAGUUCUUGCUAUGCUCCUCACUGGGACCCUGGUUUCUCUUCCUCCUUGGCCUACUGGUUUCUAUCCUUCUUAUAAUAAUGAUUGCUCUUUGUCUUCUCCAGUUCCUUCUAGAGAGAAUUUGUGAAAUAACCUGAAGUUCAUUAGGCCAGAUGCUUCGGAAGGAAUUUCCUCAGGUCUCCUACCAUUGUCAGCCAGCUUGAUUACUGGUUUUGGACCAGCAUUCCAGGCUCCCCUUUUCUCAAGGACCCCAGCAACAGGAAGUAACCAGAGGAUUUAUCAUCUCUUAUCAUCAACAAAAGGCUGAACUGUUAGGUCUAAAGCCACUUCCCCAAGUACCACCAUUGCCACUACCAAAAUAUAAAAAAAAAGGCACUGCACUGCUGAUGACAUCAUCCCAAACAGAUCAAUCACUAACAGAGAAGAUGUGGCUGCUUUGACUUGGUUCCUUCUCUGCCCUUGAAAGGACAGAAAUCAUCCUCGUGAAUUUCCUCUGCCUUCGUUACUACCUAAACCAGUGACGCCAACCACACCAGAGGAUGCUGAAGAACAGCUUUCCCAACCGUGGACGAUGCUCUGCAAAGAAGCCACCACAGGAAUCACAAAUUCUCUUUUGCAUAAUCUUAAACUAAAUAGAAUAUUAACAAUCUAAGAUUUCUCAAAAACGUUAUAGGAGGGCCCUCCAAACUCCUUAUUUAGACCCAGUUUCUCAAAACUGUACCUAGUUGGAACUCGCCAGGCUUUGGGGGGUUUCCACACUUCUGAGCAGAGUUUUUCAUCUUUACACAGAGUUGUGGCAGUUGGCAGCUGUUGAGACUCCAGAGUCGGUGCAUGUAUAAAGGGGACCCUGAGAAUGUACCCAGGCCAGCAGGUUCCCUCUGAGCAUUCAGUAACCACCCACAGCCUCCUGAGUAGAAUAUGUCCUAUUGCUUUGGUGAAACAAUUUAGAGCCGUGGGUGACAGCUGGUUGUGGUUUCAAGAUCAUCUGCCAGUCAUUACGUUGGCCAUCCAUUUUUCCAUAGAACUUUAUUUGUUUUAACAGCCUUGGAGAGAAUAGUGUUUCCCAGCACCCCCCCCCCCCCCGGCCAGCAGAUUUUGGUUCCCUGGCCUCACUGGGUAUUUCAGCCUCUCUGCUCAGGCUCUGUUAUGAGAGCAAGCUGGAAUGUAGCUAAGCCUGGAUGACAGUGUCACAAAGGGAAGCUGACUUUUUGAUCUGCCAGGUUAAAGUAAAAGUAAAGGUCACUCUGUGACAACAGACUUGACUGCAAGUAAAAGAGGAACUUGGUGUUGGGGAAGAGAGGAGGAGUUAAGGUCAAGAGGAAACUCAGCAGCUUUAGUCACUAUGGUUGACUUGUGAAUGGACUCUAAUGAUGAGUGUGGAUGGGUAGGGGGCAAGAAGGGAAGUCCAGAAAGCCCUGCUAAUCAAAUGUUCCACCACGGAGCAACUUUGGUGAGCGUCCUGAAGCUGAUGCUGGAAGGAUGCCACAUAUGCCUUGAGGCUGCUCCAUGGGAGUAGCUCUCUGCAGCUGUGGGUUACACACUGGAAUAUCCCAUCAACACCCAGCAUUUGUGUCUCCUGUGUUUGCAUACUGUUUCUAAGAGUUAUUCUAUAUGUUUAAACAGGAAAAAGCAAUCCUAAAAUAUAAAGGAAAGUAGCAUUUCUAAAGUGGAGGGAUGAUCACUCUUUUCCACUAUUGGCUCAGGCAGAUGAGAGCUGAGUAUUUGCAUGCCUGUCUGUAUGUUUCAUGGAGAACACGUGCCAACAUAGACAGUGCUCUACAAGCAACUGAAGACAUGGACUCUAGAUAUACCUCUGUUACCAGCCAGCUGUGGUUUGGGAAGACUUUUAGCUCAUCAGUCCAUGCUAUAAUAAUACCACUCAUUUAUUCGACAUUCACAUUGCAAGAACCCAUUGCAUGCAUGAAGAUCUCAUUUCGCUCAUAUGCAAAUUAAUGGAACUACCUUACAUCAACUCCAGUGUCGAAACCAUGCUCUUGAUUUUAAAUGUCACAUUUUAUUAAUGCUGAGAUGAAACUCUAGGUAAUCCACCAUUCUAUAUGGGCUCAUUUAUUUACUUACUGUAUCACAUGCUUCUUCUAUACGGUAGCCUGUUUUAUUUUUACUUUCUUUAUAUAAAAUUUUUCAAAAGCCCUAAUUCAUCUUAAACAUGCUAGAUUCAAUCACUGAGCUACAUUUUUUCCUAGACCCUAGUUUUUUCAUUACUUGGUAUUUUUACAUUGUAUAGACACAUUCAUUUUAACAAAACAAACAUUAGAAAACACACACAAAAAAAAAGAAAGAAAGAAAGAAAAGAAACAGUUUCCUUCAGUUCCACUGGGCUGUGAUGAUUUAGUAUUAUGAACAGAUUACCAGAUUGUUCUCUAUGUUCAUCCAACAAAUGUUUACAUGGAUAUGUGUCCAUACAGGUAUUUGUAGAAUACAAGAUAUAUAUUUUUAAAUUUUUUUCUUUACUUUUUUUUUUGUCUUCAAAAUCUUGAUCGUGCUGUUUUAGUCUUCAGAAUACUAGCCUUACAUGAUACCUGUCCUGUCACAGGCAUUCUAUCAUAGACAUAUCACUUGUAUAUCAGUGCUCACUUUGUUAUGUACAACUUUAUUUAAAAUUGUUGAAAUAGUAAAUAUAGACACAACCCAGGACAUCUUGUAGAAAACUACUUAGGAAGCAGAGCUAUACAACUUUGUGUUCAUGAAUGUUCCUUCUUAACCUUUAUAUUGAAAAAUGAACUAUAUAUCUAAUCAUUCAAGAAAAUGUGUACUCAUGGCACCUUUUGAGAAAACAAGCGUAUUUGAGCUGCCUUUUGUUUUGUGUAUUUGUUGCUGAUUGGAGACUGAAGAUGAAGGUAUCUGGAAUGCUCAGAGAAUUAUUCAGACAUAUACAGAAUGCUCAGAACCCAGCAAAGCUGUAAGCGAGUAAGAAAUAGAUCAACGAUGUGUUUUAGCCUAUAAAGAACUCACUAAACUUUAGUAAGGGAAUCAAAGAGAAAAGUAGCAAGUCCCUUUCAAGUGGAUUCUGUUUAAGUUUGUUAGACAUCAGUCUGUAUCAUGAAGUGAAGUAGAAUAGCUAAACUUAAUGGAGGAAAUGACUAUGAGAUGCACGUGCACACACACAAUGUAUUAUGUAUAUAUAAAAUUUUAAAAUCAUGCCAUGCAAGACUGGUGACCUGAAUUUGAUCCAUGUAGUCUACAUAAAGGUUAAUGAGAGAACAGACUCCACAAAAUUAUUCUCUGACCUUCACAUAUGCCUGUGGCAUAUGUGUCUAUGGAUAAUUUAAAGUUAACUUAAAUUUUAAUUUAAAUCAUUUA
rnacentral:sRNA from 1 species